UCUCCCGAGGCUAUUGCUAUCGGUGUCCGAUUUAGCCAUGCGAGUUGCACGUUUAACGUAGCAAACUGCUCAGUAACACGUGGCCAAACUGCCCUAUGGAUCGGGAUAACCUCGGGAAACUGAGGCUAAUCCCGAAUAGUACAUCCAGCCUGGAACUGGCGGAUGUGUGAAAUGCUCCGGCGCCAUAGGAUGUGGCUGCGGCCGAUUAGGUAGACGGUGGGGUAACGGCCCACCGUGCCGAUAAUCGGUACGGGUUGUGAGAGCAAGAGCCCGGAGACGGAAUCUGAGACAAGAUUCCGGGCCCUACGGGGCGCAGCAGGCGCGAAACCUUUACACUGCACGCAAGUGCGAUAAGGGGACUCCGAGUGCGAGGGCAUAUAGUCCUCGCUUUUGAGAACCGUAAGGUGGUUCUCGAAUAAGAGCUGGGCAAGACCGGUGCCAGCCGCCGCGGUAAUACCGGCAGCUCAGGUGAUGGCCAAUCUUAUUGGGCCUAAAGCGUCCGUAGCUGGCCGUGAAAGUUCGUCGGGAAAUCCAUCCGCUCAACGGAUGGGCGUCCGGCGAAAACUUCACGGCUUGGGACCGGAAGGCUCGAGGGGUACGUCCGGGGGUAGGAGUGAAAUCCUGUAAUCCUGGACGGACCGCCGAUGGCGAAAGCACCUCGAGAAGACGGAUCCGACAGUGAGGGGACGAAAGCUAGGGUCUCGAACCGGGAUUAGAUACCCGGGGUAGUCCUAGCCGUAAACGAUGUUCACUAAGGUGUGGCACAGGGCUACGAGCCCUGUGCUGUGCCGUUAGGGAAGCCCGAGAAGUGAACCGCCCUGGGGAAGUACGUCCGCAAGGAUGAAACUUUAAAGGAAUUGGGCGGGGGGAGCACUUACAACCCGGAGGAGCCUGCGGUUUAAU
rnacentral:rRNA from 1 species